rnacentral:rRNA from 1 species
UACGGAGGGUGCAAGCGUUAUCCGGAUUCACUGGGGUUAAAGGGUGCGUAGGUGGAUUGGUAAGUCAGUGGUGAAAUCUCCAGGCUUAACUUGGAAACUGCCAUUGAUACUAUCAAUCUUGAAUACCGUGGAGGUCAGCGGAAUAUGUCAUGUAGCGGUGAAAUGCUUAGAUAUGACAUAGAACACCAAUUGCGAAGGCAGCUGGCUACACGAAUAUUGACACUGAUGCACGAAAGCGUGGGGAUCAAACAGG